AUUGAACGCUGGCGGCAUGCCUUACACAUGCAAGUCGAACGGUAACAGGCCGCAAGGUGCUGACGAGUGGCGAACGGGUGAGUAAUGCAUCGGAACGUGCCCAGUCGUGGGGGAUAACGCAGCGAAAGCUGUGCUAAUACCGCAUACGAUCUGUGGAUGAAAGCGGGGGACCGAAAGGCCUCGCGCGAUUGGAGCGGCCGAUGUCAGAUUAGGUAGUUGGUGGGGUAAAGGCUCACCAAGCCAACAAUCUGUAGCUGGUCUGAGAGGACGACCAGCCACACUGGGACUGAGACACGGCCCAGACUCCUACGGGAGGCAGCAGUGGGGAAUUUUGGACAAUGGGCGCAAGCCUGAUCCAGCAAUGCCGCGUGCAGGAAGAAGGCCUUCGGGUUGUAAACUGCUUUUGUACGGAGCGAAAAGGCUCUCUCUAAUACAGGGGGCUCAUGACGGUACCGUAAGAAUAAGCACCGGCUAACUACGUGCCAGCAGCCGCAGUAAGAC
rnacentral:rRNA from 1 species